rnacentral:lncRNA from 1 species
CUGGACCCACCCUCCCCGUGUGCACUCUCAGGGGCAGCGCCCACCUGCCGGGGGCUCCUGCUCACACGUCUUCAGGUCGUACUGCGGGGUGGGCCCUCCGUUCCGCCUCUCCGUGGGCCUCUCUCCAGGACCACAGCUGCCAGGGACUUUAGACAUCACCCUGGGAGGCCCCUGGACACAGAGGGCUGUGUGCCCAGGAGCAAAUCCGGAGGGGGGCCCUCCUGGCUGCACAGCCCCUUCUGCGUGCCCUGGUCCCAGCCCCAGCCAACGGGACACGGAAGGCUCCCCUCCCUGACACACCACACUGCCACAAAGCUGCUUACUCUGCCCUGGGCCGCCUGAGGCCUGGCACUGCCCGCGGACCACCCUGUGUGUGUCAUCCUGAGGGGCUGUGUGGGUCCUGAGUCCCCAGCCAGCCUUCAGGGUCCCCUUGGAUUGUGUAGAUGCAGUCUAGCGGGGGGCCGGAGAAGGGCUCAGGUGGGAGGGGCCUCAGCAGGCUCCCAGCUCAGGGGCUGGCCUGGGGGGAACCCUGGGAGCCAGGGGCUGACUCCAGCAACACUGGCCUGUCUGCCUGUUCUGGGAGGGCUGUGAGGAUGUCUUGCAGAUGCUCUGGAUUUCUGCGGAGGCACCUCCAUUCCUUUCUGGCUUUUUUUGCGGGGGAGGGCUUUGGGCCUCUUUCUUUGAGGGAACACCGUCAAAGAAAGCCUGGGAGAUCGAGGCUGCAGUGAGCCAGGAUGGAAACGCCUGUCCCAAGGGUCCGGAGCAGGCGGCAGAGGCCUCAGUGCGGCAAACACAGCCCCAGAGCCUGUGUGGCACCAGCAGCAUCUUAGAGCCCCAGGUUCUGUUUUCAAAGUUGUUCUCCCCUUGAGGUCCC